rnacentral:lncRNA from 1 species
CCCGCCUCUGCCUCCCAAAGUGCUGGGAUUAUAGGCGUGAGCCACCACACCCGGCCUGUCCUUUUAAACAAACUGAAAUUUAUACAAUCUAUAUUGGUCUGCUCAGGCUGCCGUAACAAAAUACCAGACUAGGUGGUUUAAACAAAGAAGUUUAUUUUCUCACAGUUCUGGAGGUUAGAAGUCUGAGAUGAGGAUAUCACCAGCAUGGUUAGGUUCUGGUGAGGACUCUCUGGCUUACAGCUGGCUGCUUUCUCACCAUGUCUUCACAUGGCCCAAAGAGACAGAACAAGCUCUCUGGUGUCUUUUCUUGUAAGGACAAUAAUCCCAUCACGAAGUCCCCAACCUCUUCACCUCAUUCAAACACACUUACCUUCCAAAAGGCCCAUCUCCCAAUACCACCACGUUGGAGGUUAGGGCUUCAACAUACGAGUUUUAAGGUGGCACAGUCAGUCUAUUAACUUCCUGUCCAUAUAUUAGUUAUGUAUUAGGCAUUAUGUAUUACCUAAUACAUAGCUAAUCUGUAUUAGUCAGGGUUUUCCAGAGAAACAAACACAUACACACAUCCUGAGAGAGAUAAGAGAGAGAGACUCAUAUAGAAGGAGCUCCAAAAUAUUUUUUUUUGUGUGUGUGUGAGACGGUUUCACUCUUGUUGCCCAGGCUUGGAGUGCAAUGGCACGAUGUCGGCUCACUGCAACCUCUGUCUGCCGGGUUCAAACAAUUUUCCUACCUCAGCCUCCCAAGUAGCUGGGAUUACAGAGAUCAAUGGCUUUUCAAAAGCAGCACACCAAACUGUCAAAGUGGUGAUCCCUCUUCAUUUGACAUGCUCACAAAGAGGAGAAUAAGACAAGAAAGCAAGCUAACCCAGAAACAGUGAGGUGACAGUGCGCCUCAAACACAGGAAAAUAAAAUGCAUAACUAUACUGAUUGGAUGCUGCUCAAAAUCAGCCUACAUGCCAUCUUUGGUACGUGUGAACAAAGUUACCAAUUCCUAUUCUAACUAUGAUAUACUCAAAACUGUACAAUCAGUAAUGGGAUGCUCUAAAGACAAAAGAACUGCAAACCCUUUUUAAAAAAUUAUUUUCAGUAACAGUGUUACUUUUUGGUAUUAAGAUUGUAAGAAUACCUUGUGGAUAAUGUGGAACAAACCAAAUGAAUACUUAUGUGAAUGUGAUAUUCUCAAAUUAUCAUCCCUGGUAUUCCAGAGUAACAAGAUUCUUGGUGGUGACAGAAGGCAAUACAAAUAAGAUAGAAGUUAAAUAAAAACCUUGUAGUCUUCAAUUUAAAUAAAACUAUACGUAUAAAACUUUAAUUUAAAUAAAAUUAUGAUUGUUACAUCUUUUAAAUAGAAAAAAAAGGCCUAGAAACAAUGAUCAAUGCAACAGCAAAUAAGAAUCUCUAGAACCUAAAUACCUUUUUUUUUGCUAGACUCAGCCAAUUUUUCAAGAAACCCUAUUACCUUUUAAUGUUUCCUUCAAUGAGAUCAAGAGCUAAUACUUUUUCUUUGUUCAAUUUCAGAGAUCAAUAGCUAUUCAAAAGUAGCACACCAAAAAGGCGACAGGGUUUCCUGAAAAAUUAGCCAGUUCUAGGUGUAAUGGUUAGAAAUGUACAAAUUAAUCCUAGAAUGACUUGUCUUACCAUAUAGCAAAGAAGUCACUAAGGAUUAAUUGAUCAAAGAUGAGACAAUUUGAGCAUCAAUAAGAAAAAUAACUACAAUGGACUGAAACACAUACCUUUUAAAUCCACAGCUCAUUAAGAAUGGGACUAAAAAGGCCAGGCGUGGUGGCUCACGCCUGUAAUGCCAGCACUUUGGGAGGGUGAGGCAGGUGGAUCACCUGAGGUCGGGAGCUCGAGACCAGCCUGACCAACAUGGCGAAACCCCAUCUCUACUAAAAAUACAAAAUUGGCCGGGCAUGUUGGCACAUGCCUGUAAUCUCAGCUACUCAGGAGGCUGAGGCAGGAGAAUCGCUUGAACCUGGGAGGCAGAGGUUGCGGUAAGCCGAGAUCGCACCAUUGCACUCCAGCCCGGGCAACAACAGCGAAACUCCAUCUCAAAAAAAAAAAAAAAAA